rnacentral:rRNA from 1 species
UACGAAGGGUCCAAGCGUUAUCCGGAUUUAUUGGGUUUAAAGGGUGCGUAGGCGGCUUAUUAAGUCAGUGGUGAAAGCCUGUAGCUCAACUACAGAACUGCCAUUGAUACUGAUGAGCUUGAAUAUACUUGAGGUUGGCGGAAUGUGUCAUGUAGCGGUGAAAUGCUUAGAUAUGACACAGAACACCGAUUGCGAAGGCAGCUAGCUAAAGUACAAUUGACGCUGAUGCACGAAAGCGUGGGGAGCAAACAGG